GGCUCGGUGGUGGAUGGUCCACAUCUAUGACUUCUGAUGUCCCAAAAGAGGUUACACAGAAGACACUCGUUCGAGUCGAGUCCCAGCCA